UACGUAGGGUGCAAGCGUUGUCCGGAAUUACUGGGCGUAAAGCGUGCGUAGACGGUUAUGUAAGUCGGGUGUGAAAGCCCCGGGCUCAACCUGGGAAUUGCAUUCGAGACUGCAUAGCUAGGGUGCGGAAGAGGGAAGCGGAAUUUCCGGUGUAGCGGUGAAAUGCGUAGAUAUCGGAAGGAACACCAGUGGCGAAAGCGGCUUCCUGGUCCAGCACCGACGUUCAGGCACGAAAGCGUGGGGAGCAAACAGG
rnacentral:rRNA from 1 species